GAUGAACGCUGGCGGCGUGCCUAAUACAUGCAAGUCGAGCGAACAGAUGAGGAGCUUGCUCCUCUGACGUUAGCGGCGGACGGGUGAGUAACACGUGGAUAACCUACCUAUAAGACUGGGAUAACUUCGGGAAACCGGAGCUAAUACCGGAUAAUAUAUUGAACCGCAUGGUUCAAUAGUGAAAGACGGUUUUGCUGUCACUUAUAGAUGGAUCCGCGCCGCAUUAGCUAGUUGGUAAGGUAACGGCUUACCAAGGCAACGAUGCGUAGCCGACCUGAGAGGGUGAUCGGCCACAAUGCAACUGAGACACGGUCCCGACUCCUACGGGAGGCAGCAGUAGGGAAUCUUCCGAAAUGGGCGAAAGCCUGACGGAGCAACGCCGCGUGAGUGAUGAAGGUCUUCGGAUCGUAAAACUCUGUUAUUAGGGAAGAACAAAUGUGUAAGUAACUAUGCAUGUCUUGACGGUACCUAAUCAGAAAGCCACGGCUAACUACGU
rnacentral:rRNA from 1 species